rnacentral:rRNA from 1 species
UUCGGCCCCAUGGCCGUGCCUUUUGUAUAAUGGGUCAGCGACUUACAUUCAGUGGCAAGGUUAACCGAAUAGGGAAGCCGUAGCGAAAGCGAGUCCGAAUAGGGCGAUUCAGUCGCUGGGUGUAGACCCGAAACCAGAUGAUCUA